AAGAAAUAAUUUAAUUAUUUUAGUUUUUAUAAUUAUUUUUAAUUUAAAUAAAUUUAAAUUUUUAAUUUUUUGUAGAGUUUAUUGAUCAAAUAAUAUUUUUUAUAGGAAAGUAGUAUUGAGAAAGAAUGUUGAAAAAUUAUGUUGUUUAUAAUAAAGUAAUAUUUAUUUUGUGUACCUUUUGUAUCAGGGUUUAUUAAAUAAAGGUAAAAGAUUUUAUAUUCUCGAAUUUAAAGGAGCUAAAUUUUUAUGAAAGUUUUUGUGUUAUAAAAAUUUUAAAUAGUAAUUUAGUAAUGAAAUGUUAUUCGUCUUUAAAGAUAUCUAGUUUUUUAAGAAAUAAAUUUAAUUUAUAUAUUAAUAAAUUAAUUUUUUAAUUUUAAAAUUAAUUAAUUAUUAAUAUAAAUAUAUCAAGGGAUAAGCUUUGAUUUAAUAAAAUUAUAAUAAAAUUGGAUAUUAAUUAAUUGUAGAUUUAGAAAUAGUUAUCAAUAAAAAAUUUGUAUUAAUUUAUAAAUUUAUAGAAAAUAUUUAUUUAAAUUUAAUUUUAGUAUUAAAAUAAAAAUUUUAAUUUUAAAAAUUUAGUAAUAAUGAUAAAAUUAGUAUAGUAUAAUUGUUUAGAUAUAAUUUAUAAAAAGAUUAUUUUAAGGAAUUCGGCAAAAAUAAUGUUCACCUGUUUAACAAAAACAUGUCUUUUAGAAUAUAAUUUAAAGUCUAACCUGCCCACUGAAUUAAUUUGAAGGGCCGCGGUAUUUUGACUGUGCAAAGGUAGCAUAAUCAUUAGUCUUUUAAUUGGAGGCUUGUAUGAAUGGUUGGAUGAAACAUUAACUGUCUCAAUUUAAUAAAAAUAGAAUUUAAUUUUUAAGUUAAAAAGCUUAAAUAAAAUUAGAGGACGAGAAGACCCUAUAGAUCUUUAUAUUUAAUUAUUUAUUUUUAAUAUAGAAAAGUAAUUAAUAUUAAUUAAUUAAUUAUUUUAUUGGGGUGAUAGAUAAAUUUAAUAAACUUUAUUUAAUAUAAACAUUUAUUUAUGAUUAUUUGAUCCAUUAUUAGUGAUUAAAAGAUUAAGUUACCUUAGGGAUAACAGCGUAAUUUUUUUAGAGAGUUCAUAUCGAUAAAAAAGUUUGCGACCUCGAUGUUGAAUUAAAGGUUAAUUUUAGGUGUAGAAGUUUAAAGUUUUGGUCUGUUCGACCAUUAAAUCUUUACAUGAUUUGAGUUCAAACCGGCGUGAGCCAGGUUGGUUUCUAUCCUUAAUAAAAUAAAAUAUUUUAGUACGAAAGGACCAAAUAUUUAAAAUAUUUUUUAAAAUAAAGAAUAGUAUUAAU
rnacentral:rRNA from 1 species